GGAAUUUUAUUGUUUCCUGCUGGGGAUUCCUAUUGUAACCCUCUAUUUUAUUGUCCUCUGACUUGAUCUUGAAAUGUAUGCCUCUGUUAUCUGGGCGGGAUCCCAACAUCAACAACAACUUUAAAAAUAAGCGUCAUUCCUCUCUUCAGGCGGGCUCCUGACUUCAACAACAUCUUUGAAAAUAAACGCCAUUCCUCUCUUCAGGCGGGCUCCUGACUUCAACAAUAACUUUGAAAAUAAUCGCCAUUCCUCUCUUCAGGCGGGCUCCUGACUUCAACCAAUACAUCGCCAUUCCUUUCUUUAGGUUGGGAAGAUUUCAACAACUAUUAAAAACGCCUUUCCUCUCUUCAGGCGGGCUACUGACUUCAACAACAACUUUGAAAAUAAUCGACAUUCCUCUCUUCAGGCGGGCUCCUGACUUCAACCAAUACAUCGCCAUUUCUUUCUUUAGGUUGGCAAGAUUUCAACAACUUUUAAAAACGCCUUUCCUCUCUUCAGGCGGGCUCCUAAAUUCAACAACGACUUUGAAAAUAAUCGCCAUUCCUCUCUUCAGGCGGGCUCCUGACUUCAACCAAUACAUCGCCAUUUCUUUCUUUAGGUUGGCAAGAUUUCAACAACUUUUAAAAACGUCUUUCCUCUCUUCAGGCGGGCUCCUAACUUCAACAACAACUUUGAAAAUAAUUGUCAUUCCUCUCUUCAGGCGGGCUCCUGACUUCAACCAAUACAUCGCCAUUCCUUUCUUUAGGUUGGCAGGAAUU
rnacentral:lncRNA from 1 species